rnacentral:lncRNA from 1 species
CUCUUGUUGCCCAGGCUGGAGUGCAAUGGCGCAAUCUUGGCUCAGUGCAAGCUCCGCCUCCCGGGUUCACACCAUUCUCCUGCCUCAGCCUCCUGAGUAGCUGGGACUACAGGCACAUGCCACCGUGCCCGGCUAAUUUUUUGUAUUUUUAGUAGAGACGGGGUUUCACCGUGUUAGCCAGGAUGGUCUCUAUCUCCUGACCUCGUGAUACACCUGCCUCGGCCUCCCAAAGUGCUGGGAUUACAGGCGUGAGCCACCGCGCCCUGCCAGCCAUGAGUGAUGAAAGACAGAUACCAACAAAUGAAAUUAGACUCUCUCUGACUAUCCUCAGAUCAGAAACUCUUGAGUCAACAGGAAAAGACAAGACGAUACUGUAUGAAAGUCUGACCAACAUAAAGGGUGCUACAAGGAUGCCCCCAAGGCUCAGGAUGUUGGAGAGUUGAGGCACCAUGAGUAACCACAAUGCAGAAUGAAGAAUAGUUCUUCUGGUGUGAGGAUCCACUGGGUUGCCACUGACCCAUUGCCUGAGGGUAUGCGAUGAAACCAGAAUCAGCAACUGUAGAUGGCAGCUCAGAAGGGGAAACGACACAUCUAAUAACCAACAGGAAUGGCUAUUAAUUAGCUGAAAUGACAAUAAUUAACAGAAAUGACAAGUCUAAUAAAUUUUCACUUAAGUGUUGUCACAUGGCACUUUGAGUUUUAGCUUUCCAUUUUAAAUAUUAAUCUCGGUGGGGUUUACUUUAGAUGAAGAGUCAUAUCAAGUAUGACUAUGGAAAUAAUUCUGUACAGACACUCCAUCAAAUUAUGUUUAAUCCAUUUCACUUAUGCUAUGAUCAGUAGAGAGUGUAUUAAAAGCUCACAUUGUCACCCUAAAAAUAUAUUCUUUUUGUGUGUAUCUAAUUUAUGCUGCUCAGAAACAUUCAGCCACAGGGAUCAGAGGGAAGGUGGUUGUUUUUAAUUUUCUUUGAUAUCUUCAAAGAUAGGAAAGUCUCACCCCUCUG